rnacentral:rRNA from 1 species
CCUACGGGAGGCAGCAGUGAGGAAUAUUGGUCAAUGGACGAGAGUCUGAACCAGCCAAGUAGCGUGAAGGAUGACUGCCCUAUGGGUUGUAAACUUCUUUUAUAUGGGAAUAAAAUGUUCCACGUGUGGGAUUUUGUAUGUACCAUAUGAAUAAGGAUCGGCUAACUCCGUGCCAGCAGCCGCGGUAAUACGGAGGAUCCGAGUGUUAUCCGGAUUUAUUGGGGUUAAAGGGAGCGUAGGUGGAUUGUUAAGUCAGUUGUGAAAGUUUGCGGCUCAACCGUAAAAUUGCAGUUGAAACUGGCAGUCUUGAGUACAGUAGAGGUGGGCGGAAUUCGUGGUGUAGCGGUGAAAUGCUUAGAUAUCACGAAGAACUCCGAUUGCGAAGGCAGUUCACUGGACUGCAACUGACACUGAGGCUCGAAAGUGUGGGUAUCAAACAGGAUUAGAUACCCGUGUAGUC